UUUUUUUUUUUUUGUGAUGUUCUUGGUGCAAGCUGUUCACUAAGAGUAAACUUCAUUGAUGCAUAUUGUUUUUAUCAUUCAAGCUAUCUUUGUGACUUAGUAGAAUGGUACUUUACAGAUAAAUAUCUAUGCCUAUUGAUAUAUGUUACUCUUCAGUGCAUAUCUUGGUCUUUCUUCCACAUCUUAAUUACUAGGGUUCUCCAUGUUAACAAACCUAGAAUGCAACAAAAUUUUGUCAAAUUGGAUUUCCUCUAACUGCACUCUUUGUUUGCUGCUGUAUCGUUCAUCUCCAGAUAGUGCUUUAUAAUAGUAUGG
rnacentral:misc_RNA from 1 species